CUCUGGGGAUAACAGGCUGAUACCGCCCAAGAGUUCAUAUCGACGGCGGUGUUUGGCACCUCGAUGUCGGCUCAUCUCAUCCUGGGGCUGUAGCCGGUCCCAAGGGUAUGGCUGUUCGCCAUUUAAAGAGGUACGUGAGCUGGGUUUAAAACGUCGUGAGACAGUUUGGUCCCUAUCUUCCGUGGGCGCUGCAGAUUUGAGGAAGCCUGCUCCUAGUACGAGAGGACCGGAGUGGACACACCUCUGGUGUAUCGGUUGUCACGCCAGUGGCAUUGCCGAGUAGCUAAGUGUGGAAGAGAUAACCGCUGAAAGCAUCUAAGCGGGAAACUCGUUUCAAGAUGAGAUCUGCCGGGGCCUUGAGCCCCCUAAAGAGUCGUUCAAGACCAGGACGUUGAUAGGCUGGGUGUGGAAGCGCAGUAAUGCGUUAAGCUAACCAGUACUAAUUGCUCGUGCGGCUUGACCCU
rnacentral:rRNA from 1 species